rnacentral:rRNA from 1 species
UGUAAGCGUAUACCAAAGUUGUUGCAGUUAAAACGCUCGUAGUCGGAAUUUGGCAGUUCCGGAUGUGUGCACGUCGUGUGCGCACUUCGCGGGGAUUGCUUUUGUGGUCUUGCGUAGGAUGAGGCACUUUUAUUAGUGAACGUCCUCACGCAACCACUUUUUACUGUGAGAAAAUCAGAGUGCUCAAAGCAGGCAUCUGCCGUGAAUGUAUUAGCAUGGAAUAAUAGAGUAGGACUUGGUUCUAUUUUGUUGGUUUGUUGGGACUGAGUAAUGAUUAAGAGGGACAGUUGGGGGCAUUUGUAUUUCGGUGCUAGAGGUGAAAUUCUUAGAUUACCGAAAGACAAACUGCUGCGAAAGCGUCUGCCAAGGAUGUUCUCAUUGA